CAGCAGCAGCCACGGGAAUACGUAGGGUGCAAGCGUUAAUCGGAAUUACUGGGCGUAAAGCGUGCGCAGGCGGUUAUAUAAGACAGAUGUGAAAUCCCCGGGCUCAACCUGGGAACUGCAUUUGUGACUGUAUAGCUAGAGUACGGCAGAGGGGGAUGGAAUUCCGCGUGUAGCAGUGAAAUGCGUAGAUAUGCGGAGGAACACCGAUGGCGAAGGCAAUCCCCUGGGCCUGUACUGACGCUCAUGCACGAAAGCGUGGGGAGCAAACAGGAUUAGAUACCCAAGUAGUCCCUGUCUCUUAUAC
rnacentral:rRNA from 1 species